rnacentral:rRNA from 1 species
UACGAGUGCCUCGAGCGUUAUCCGGAAUCAUUGGGCGUAAAGGGUGCGUAGGUUGUCAUAUUAGUCUCUUGUUAAAACUUUCGGCUUAACCGGGAAUCUGCGAGGGAAACGGUAUGACUAGAGGAUGGAAGAGGUUUGCGGAACUCAUGGUGUAGGGGUGAAAUCCGUUGAUAUCAUGGGGAACACCGAAAGCGAAGGCAGCAAACUGGUCCACUCCUGACGCUGAAGCACGAAAGCGUGGGUCGCGAAUGGG